rnacentral:sRNA from 2 species
CGUUGCCGCAGGCAACGACCCGAAGGGCGAAGCGCGCAGCGCUGAGUAAUCCUUCCCCCGUCAUCC